rnacentral:rRNA from 1 species
GGAUUAGAUACCCUGGUAGUCCACGCCGUAAACGAUGUCUACUAGUUGUCGGUUGUCUUGUACGACGGGUAACGCAGCUAACGCGAUAAGUAGACCGCCUGGGGAGUACGGCCGCAAGGUUAAAACUCAAAGGAAUUGACGGGGGCCCGCACAAGCGGUGGAAUAUGUGGUUUAAUUCGACGCAACGCGCAGAACCUUACCCAGACUUGACAUGCUCGGAAGUCGCUGGAAACAGCUUCGUGCCCUUCGGGGAGCCGAGACACAGGUGCUGCAUGGCUGUCGUCAGCUCGUGUUG